rnacentral:misc_RNA from 1 species
AAACAAAUACGGAUUUUGCCGCCUUUCAGUGAUCAUAGUUUUACUCCAAGGGUGCAAAAAUAAGGACAUUAUAUACGACGUUGGGUGAAAGUGAAUGCAAAUUUGAUCAAGUCACUAAAACAGACAGUCAAUCUACUGAAUUUCAAAGAAACUUUACAUCGCAACCUAAAAGGCCACCCCUCCAGCUAAGGGGAACGUUCACGAAUGCACGUAACGCCUGGCACUUCAAUGCAUAUGAUGCAAUGGAUGUUCGCGAGAGGACUGGUAACAAGUACCACUCGUUCGAGCAGCUAGUAUUUACAUUCGAUGGCGACAACUGCGGCAUCUUCUUUGUAAGUCCCUGGGGCAGAAGAGGUAAUAACUAUGAACUCCGCGUCAAGAAUGGGAACACUGCACCUACCGACUGUUACAGUAAAUUUGUAACGCAAACGAACAGAGCAGGCUCAGGCAGCAAGAGGUUCGAAUGCAAGAAGAUUCGUUGAGGUCAUACACGAUUACGCAAUAAUUAUUGACGGUCAUAAUGCCAAUAAAGCUAUCUGCUGACGUA